UUCGGUGCCCAUGGCGCUGGGGAAACACCUGUUCUCAUUCCGAACACAGAAGUUAAGCCCAGUAGCGGCGAGCAUACUGCGAAAGCGGGAAAAUAGCACGGUGCCGAAU
rnacentral:rRNA from 2 species